UCGCUGCUGGCGACCCAGCGUUCUGCUGUUGUGCCGCCUUGAUGCGCUGCGCUAGCCACGGCGAUCUCUCUUCUCUAUCUCCGCCUCUCCGGACUCCAGUGUUGCGUCAUGGCGGCAGAAGAUGGGAAACUCUCAAGGCAGAGGAAGGGAGUCGAAUAGACGUGACGUGGAAUCGGGAAUAUCCUCUGGCCCCUGGCGGCCACUAUCGAUGGAUCACGCGAGGAGUUACGCGAGGCAAG
rnacentral:lncRNA from 1 species